GACAGAGGGUGCAAACGUUGUUCGGAAUUACUGGGCGUAAAGCGCUUGUAGGCGGCUUGUUCAGUUCCGUGUGAAAUCCCCAGGCUUAACCUGGGAAGUGCGCGGAAAACUGGCGAGCUUGAGUGCCGGAGAGGGUCGCGGAAUUCCCGGUGUAGAGGUGAAAUUCGUAGAUAUCGGGAGGAACACCAGUGGCGAAGGCGGCGACCUGGACGGACACUGACGCUGAGACGCGAAAGCGUGGGGAGCAAACAGG
rnacentral:rRNA from 1 species